rnacentral:rRNA from 1 species
AGAGUUUGAUCCUGGCUCAGAACGAACGCUGGCGGCGCGUUUUAAGCAUGCAAGUCGAACGGUAGGGAGGUGCUUGCACUUCCUGAGAGUGGCGAACGGGUGAGUAACACGUAGGUGAUCUACCGCAGGGGUUGGGGAUAGCCCAUGGAAACAUGGGGUAAUACCGGAUACGCUCAUUUGGCUAUGGCCGAAUGAGGAAAGGCGCUUCGGCGUCGCCCUGCGAUGAGCCUGCGCCCCAUUAGCUAGUUGGUAGGGUAAAGGCCUACCAAGGCAACGAUGGGUAGCCGGCCUGAGAGGGUGAUCGGCCACACUGGGACUGAGAUACGGCCCAGACUCCUACGGGAGGCAGCAGCUAAGAAUCUUCCGCAAUGGACGAAAGUCUGACGGAGCGACGCCGCGUGGGUGAAGAAGGCCGGAAGGUUGUAAAGCCCUUUUCUUGUUGAGGAGUAAGCACAGGAGGGAAUGCCUGUGCGAUGACGGUAGGCGAGGAAUAAGUCCCGGCCAAUUACGUGCCAGCAGCCGCGGUAACACGUAUGGGACGAGCGUUGUUCGGAAUCAUUGGGCGUAAAGGGCGCGUAGGCGGCGAGGUAAGCCUGGUGUGAAAGACCGCAGCUUAACUGC